GACGGUGACGAUUACGGUGUUUGUGGCUCUCUGUUUGGUUGGUGUUUGGAUGAUGACAUCAUCGUCAUCGUCAUCUGUGGUGCCUGUUCAAAAUGUGGAUGAGCCAGCCCAGGAGAAGAAGAGUGAGGCGAAGGAGCAGCUGCCUGAGAGUAAUGAGAGUAGUAGUAAUCAGCAAUUUGAGGAUAAUAAUGCUGAUUUGCCUGAGGAUGCCACAAAAGGAGGCAAGAAUGAGAAAAUCCAAGAAAAUAUAGAGAAGUCGGAUGAAAAGUCCAAUGAAGAGAGUAAGUUCGAUGAUGGAUCAAAUAGGCAGACGCAAAAUGAUGAUAAUAAAACGGGUGAUAGGGAUUCUAAGACAGAUUCAGAAGGUGGAGAAACAAAUACUGAUGAGAGCGAGAAGAAAUCUUACUCAGAUGAAAAUGGCAAUAAAUCUGAUUCAGAUGAUGGUGAGAAGAAAUCUGAUAGAAAGUCAGAGGAGAGCUCUGGAGAAAAAGUUGAUGGUCAGGUAGAGGAGAAGGAAGAUCAAAAUGAAAACAAGGAGUCGGAGAAAAGCUCUGAUGAUAAAAGGGAGGACGACUCCAAAAAC
rnacentral:lncRNA from 1 species